CCUAUGCCUUCUGCUGUCACCCCUGUGUCACAAUCUAUUCCUGCUGCUGUUGUCACUCCUGGCUUGCAGUCUAUUCCUGCUACUGCUGUUAAACCUGGCUUACAAUCUAUUCCUGUUGCUGUCACACCUGGCUCACAACCUAUGCCUUCUGCUGUCACACCUGUGUCACAAUCUAUUACUGCUGGCCCUUCUGCACCUAUCCAAUCAAGAGGACGAGGUCGGAAGGUUCAGAGUGGAGUACAAGCACCACGACGCAGGGGAAAGAAACAGGGGUCUAUACUGUCUGCUUCUGGGAGUUUAGCAGCUCCUGAUCCAAGUACAAAUGAACAAUCACAGACUAUAUCUGUUAAUCCAUUGCUUAGUGCAACAAGUGGAACCAUUUCUAGUGUUCCUGUUGCUCAUUGUCAUAGUAAUUUACCUGGCUCUGCUGCUGUAGAAGUUAUUAGUGGACCCAAUUAUUAUGUACCAGGGAUUGCUUUGGAUUCUAAGUCAGCUCCUCCUAUCUCUUCUAUCGCUCCUGCCGCUGAAUGCCUCCCUCCUGGCCCUUCAGCUCCUAUAAAAGGGCCAAGCAGCAAUGCUCAAACUGGAGCCGGAACACCACGGCGUAGAGGGAGGAAACAAGCACCAUUAUCAUCUGCUGUUUCAGAUGCUUUUCUCAGUCAGUUUUCCAUAUCAGAUCAAGUCUCGAAGAAUAAAUCUGAGGAAUCAGGAAGUAAAGCCAUUGUCCUGACAAGUAACCAAAAGAGUUAUGAUUGUGAACCUAGAGAUGUUAACCAGGAGCAAGCAACCAGAGUAGCUGGUCAGGAUAAAAAAUCAGCAGAACAUUUGGAUGAUGCAACCCGAAAUCAGCAGCCACUCUGCUCAUCAACGUCAAAUGAUGGUGUUGCGAGACCCAUGGGCUCAUCUCCUGGACAAAUUCUAUGUGCUGAUAUGCAUGAUGUGGCUGCUGUUGCAAAGGAAUUAUCAGCUGAAAAUAGCUCUCCAAAAGCUAAUUUUGGUGAACAAGGUAAUGAUGGUGGGGUUGCCCAAAAUGUACCUGUAUUAAGUAAAACAUUUAUGGAGGUGGCUCAAAGCCAAAGCUCUGAAGACAAAGUAUCCUCUGUUGUUGGCCAUCCAACUGAGUCAUCUCCAAGUUCUGCUGCUGUAGAAGCUAUUGGAAAAUCUGUUCAUCAGGUUGCUGUAAAGAUUGCUUCCGAUUCUCAGCCUACUGCAUCUUAUCCUUCUCUCUCUCCAGCCUCACAAUCUAUCCCUUCCGAAUCCAUGCUUGUUAAAAGGCAAGGUCGAAAGGCUCCAAAUAGAGCAGAAACACCUAGGCGUAGGGGAAGGAAGCAGGGUCCAGUUUCACCUGCUGCUGAUGCUUUGGUUGUUCAGGAUCAGAAAGUGAAUCCACAAUCACAGAAUAAAUCAAGGGAUUCAUCAGGGAGUAAGGUGAUGAACUUGAGAAGUAAACAAGAGGGUGAUCUUAAUGAACCCGCAAAUAUCACUCAGGAGGCACAUUUAUCCAGUGGUUUAGUUGGCCUAGAUCCAAAAAGAAAAGAGACUAGUGGAAUUCCUGGUUUUGACCGAAUUCAGACUGCUGCUAUUACUGAUGUUGCUCGUGUGAUGAAGGAGAUUUUCUCUGAAACUUGCUCAUCAAAAAAUAAAAUGGGAGAGUCUUCUAGGAUUGAAUGUAAAAAUGCCCCAAUUGUACCUGUAGUAAGACAGACUCCUAUGGAGGUUCCAAAAAGCCAAAGCGCAGAGGAAAAAAUCCUGUCAACUGUGCCAACUUCGGAUGCUGAAACUACGGUUUCGGGGAUUUCAGUUGACAGUUGUAGACAGUCUGACCCUGGAGUUGGUGUCAUGGUGGAAGAGGGCCAUGCACCUGCUUUGGGUAAGCCAAAACUUACAGAAAAUGUAGUAGAUUCAGGACAGGUUUCUCAGAAAAACUCGAUUGCAGGUGUCAAUAAGGAGGUCGCUUGUACUGUUCCAGUUAGCAUCGGUGAAAAGGAGAUUGUUUCAUCUUCUAGACCUGCUCCUCAUGAACUCCCUGGUCCUAGUCCAGUGUCCUCUGGGAAUGAGGUUGAUUCAACACUUUCAUCUCAAGGCCCGGAAGAGCCUUCUGGGAUGACACAGGAUGAAUUAGGAAAUGAAAAAGUUCCAUCUUCAAAUGAGCUACCAAAAUCUUCUCCCCUUGAUGUUGGCAGCCUUGAGCAUCCCAAGAUUUUGGUGGGGGCUGCUGAUGCUGGUGAUUUUUCCACAGCGACUCUAUCUUCUCCAAUGGAGAUUUGUGAUAACAAUUCAAUGAAGAAAACAGAGGUUUCAGCAAAAGCACCACUUCCUUGUGUAAUUGGCAUAGAAAGCCCAACAAUUUCUGCAAAUCCUGAUGGUGUGAGUUUUGAUUCUGGUGUAAGUACACAAAUGCUUCCUAGUCCUGUUACAGAUUCUGUUUCCAGAAGAAUUCCUGUUUUGGCCAAGACUUCGUCUGGAAACAUUAUUGAGCCUUCUUCACAAGAGUCACUAGAUGCCAGAAGCAUUCAGGGUUCGACAAGUUGUGUAAAGCCUAGUGGUGUUGGUGGUCAUCCUUCAGAGUCUGGAUCAGUUUCAGCGAGUUCCUGCCAUUCAGACAAUGUGCAAUUGCCUGUCAUAACUCUAAAUGAUUCUAAAGAUGAAAUACAGCCUUCUUCAAAAGAGUCUCCAGAACCUGGUGCUCAGCUGCCUUCUAAAGAAUCUCCAGAACUUUGUGCUCUUGGUAUUAAAAGCUCUUCAACUUCUGGAACACCUAAUGCUUUGGGUGAUCAUCCUCCAGUACCUAGGUCUAUUUCUGGAAAUCAAGAUAAUUUAAGUAAUGUUGAGGUUGAAGGUAUUUCUGACAGGUCUGACAUACAUGCUACGGCAGACAAAGCUGCGGUUUUCAUAGGUGAAACUGGUGUUGAAUUUCCAGAAGCUUCCAAGAAGACCAACAAUCUUGGAGCUGAUCUCCUGCAUGGUGUUGUAACUACUGGUUGUAAUACUGAUACUUUUUGCAAGGCUUUCACUGACCAUGAUAAAUUUGAAGAUCUAUCCAUCCAGAUUAAAGAUAAAAGGGAUCCUUUGUCAGAACCUUCGCAGUCAGUCACUUCUGAGUGUAAUUAUGUGGAGGUUAUUGCACAAGAUCAUGGUGUGAUGCAACUACCGCUAGCUGUUAAAAGUAGUGAGGGUGAUCAUGUAGAGGUUUGCAAUAUGGAAGUAGAUCCCUCAAAAAUACAAGAGCUGCCUCCAAAAGAUUUUGUUACGACAUCUUCCAGCGUACAAGGUGUUUCAGAAGGCACUAGUGGAAUGCAACUGCCUCGUGGAAGCACCGAGGGUGGUCGCCUUGAGGUUUGUAAUGUGGAAGAGCAAAUAUCUUUGCCAGAAUUUACUGUUUCUGAAUCUGCAGAUGUAGGGAAAGAUAAUAGUGGAGCUGAGGUACAGCCAGAGGUUGGAAGUAGUAAGGGUGAACGUGUAGCUGGUUGCAAUGCAGAAGCAAACUUGUCUGAAGCACUUGCAUCAUUGCCAAAUGAUAUUGCCGCCAAAUCUACCGAUGCAGAGGACAUUCAUCAAAUGGAGGUUUUGCAGUUUGACAGGGUUGUACUGCAAAAUAUUUCUGAAAGUACUCUUCCUUCAUCUUACCUGGUGGUAGAGGAAGAGAAAGUAGAUGACAAACGUGAGAAGAGCUCACUAGCAGAGGGGGAAACACGAGGAUCUGAAGCAAAAAUGGUUAAUGAGGGGGAUGUCUCUCGAGUUGGUGGGAUUUUUCCUGGAGAUGUACUAGAAAAUAUGGUUUUAUCUUCUUCUCCAUUGACAAUGGAGGAAGAAAAGAGCAAAGUAUUCUUUGAGCAGGGUUUAUCUGGCAAUGCAAUAACACCAGAAGAAUCAAAAAGUUCUGAAACCGAAAUUAUUCAUCAAAUGGAUGUAUCCCAUGAUAUUGUUGAGCAACUGAUUACACCAGCAAAUUUCAUUUUAUCUUCGGCUUCCUUGGCUAGUGAAGAGGAAAAGAUGAAAAGCACAUGUGAGAAGGGUCUAGUUCUCAGCCCAGUACUAGAGGAAUUAAAAGGAUCUGAAGCUGAAAAUUGUUAUCAAAUGGGUGUAUCUGAGGUUCGUUCAAGUGUGCCUGAAUAUACAUCGGCAAAAAUGAAUGUUCCAUCAUCUUCUUUGGCAAUGGAGGAAGACAAGGCUGAUGACUUAUCUGACAAGGGUCUAUUUUGCAGCUUAGUAGUACCAGCAGAAUCAAAAGGAUCUGAUAUUGAAAAGAACAAUGAAAUAAAUGUUUCUCAGGUUGGUGAGGUUGUGCCUGAAAAUAUAUCAGCAAAUAUGGUUUUGUCUUUGUCUUCCUGUGCCCCAGAGGGUGACAAAAUUGAAGGCUUAUCUGAAAUGAACAAAAGUGGCAGCUCGGCAGCUGGGGAACCAAAAGGAUCUGAAACUGAGAAAAGCAAUGCCCUGGAGGAUGACAAAUGCGAAGGCUUAACUGAGAUGAACAGAAGUAGCAUAUCAGCAGCUGAGGAACCAAAACUAUCUGAAACUGAGAAAAGCAAUGUUCUGGAGGAUGACAAUUGCGAAGGCUUAUCUGAGAUGAACAAAAGUAGCAGCUCAGCAGCAGAGGAAUGUGAAGGCUUAUCUGAGAUGAACAAAAGUAGCAGCUCAGCAGCAGAGGAAUGU
rnacentral:misc_RNA from 1 species